AUUCCAGCUCCAAUAGCGUAUAUUAAUGUUGUUGCAGUUAAAAAGCUCGUAGUUGGAUUCCUGGCACGGGGUAGCCGGUCCGCCUUGCAAAAGGUGCGCACUGAGCGGCCUCGGCCAUCCUUGCGAUGGUCUAUCCUGGCAUUCGGUUGUCGGGGUGGGGAUUCGCGACGUUUACUGUGAAAAAAUCAGAGUGUUCAACGCAGGCUUACGCCUUGAAUACAUUAGCAUGGAAUAAUGAGAUAGGACCUUGGCGGUCUAUUUUGUUGGUUUGCACGCCGAGGUAAUGAUUAAAAGGGACGGUUGGGGUUCUUCGUAUUCAAUUGUCAGAGGUGAAAUUCUUGGAUUUAUGGAAGACGAACUGCUGCGAAAGCGCCGAACAAGGACGUUCUCAUCA
rnacentral:rRNA from 1 species